GGGGGCCCGCAAGCGGUGGAGCAUGUGGUUCAAUUCGACGCAACGCGAAAAACCUUACCUGGGCUCGAACGGCUUCCCAACGCCGGUAGAAAUAUCGGUACCCCGCAAGGGGGUGGAGUCGAGGUGCUGCAUGGCUGUCGUCAGCUCGUGUCGUGAGAUGUUGGGUUAAGUCCCGCAACGAGCGCAACCCUUGUCCUGUGUUGCCAUGUCAAAAGACGGAACUCGCAGGAGACCGCCAGCGAUAAGCUGGAGGAAGGUGGGGAUGACGUCAAGUCCUCAUGGCCUUUAUGUCCAGGGCUACACACGUGCUACAAUGGCCGGUACAAAGCGUCGCUAACCUGCGAAGGGGAGCCAAUCGCAAAAAACCGGUCUCAGUUCGGAUUGCAGGCUGCAACUCGCCUGCAUGAAGCUGGAAUCGCUAGUAAUGGCAGAUCAGCACGCUGCCGUGAAUACGUUCCCGGGCCUUGUACACACC
rnacentral:rRNA from 1 species